CAAUAGCGUAUAUUAAAGUUGUUGCAGUUAAAAAGCUCGUAGUUGGAUUUGUGGUGGUCCCUGUGGUCCAAUUCUGGUACUUGCGGGGGCCGCCAUCCUUGGGUGGAUCCUGUGUGGCAUUAGGUUGUCGUGCAGGGGAUGCCCAUCGUUUACUGUGAAAAAAUUAGAGUGUUCAAAGCAGGCUUAUGCCGAUGAAUAGAUUAGCAUGGAAUAAUGAGAUAGGACUUCGGUACUAUUUUGUUGGUUUGCGCACUGAAGUAAUGAUUAACAGGGACAGUUGUGGGUAUUCGUAUUGCAUUGUCAGAGGUGAAAUUCUUGGAUUUCUGCAAGACGAACUAAUGCGAAAGCAUUUACCAAGGAUGUUUUCAUUAA
rnacentral:rRNA from 1 species